rnacentral:rRNA from 1 species
AACGUAGACCUCGAGCGUUAUCCGGAUUUAUUGGGCGUAAAGCGCGUGUAGGUGGCACUGCGCGUCUUCUGUUAAAGCCCAGGGCCUAACCCUGGAGAUGCAGGAGAUACGGCAGAGCUAGAGGAGGUUAGAGGUGCAUGGAACGCACGGUGUAGGGGUGAAAUCCGUUGAUAUCGUGCGGAACACCAAAGGCGAAGGCAGUGCACUGGGACCUUUCUGACACUGAGACGCGAAAGCGUGGGGAGCAAAAAGG